GAUGACGCUGGCGGCGUGCCUAAUACAUGCAAGUCGAGCGAGUGGCGGACGGGUGCGUAAUGUCUGGGCAACUGCCUGAUGGAGGGGGAUAACUACUGGAAACGGUAGCUAAUACCGCAUCCCAUCGGAUGUGCCCAGAUGGGAUUAGCUAGUAGGUGGGGUAACGGCUCACCUAGGCGACGAUCCCUAGCUGGUCUGCGAGGAUGACCAGCCCAACGGGAACUGAGACACGGUCCAUACUCCUACGGGAGGCAGCAGUGGGGAAUAUUGCACAAUGGGCGCAAGCCUGAUGCAGCCAUGCCGCGUGUAUGAAGAAGGCCUUCGGGUUGUAAAGUACUUUCAGCGGGGAGGCGUUACCCGCAGAAGAAGCACCGGCUAACUCCGUGCCAGCAGCCGCGGUAAUUC
rnacentral:rRNA from 1 species